rnacentral:rRNA from 1 species
AGAUUGAACGCUGGCGGCAGGCCUAACACAUGCAAGUCGAACGGUAACAGGAAGCAGCUUGCUGCUUCGCUGACGAGUGGCGGACGGGUGAGUAAUGUCUGGGAAACUGCCUGAUGGAGGGGGAUAACUACUGGAAACGGUAGCUAAUACCGCAUAACGUCGCAAGACCAAAGAGGGGGACCUUCGGGCCUCUUGCCAUCGGAUGUGCCCAGAUGGGAUUAGCUUGUUGGUGGGGUAACGGCUCACCAAGGCGACGAUCCCUAGCUGGUCUGAGAGGAUGACCAGCCACACUGGAACUGAGACACGGUCCAGACUCCUACGGGAGGCAGCAGUGGGGAAUAUUGCACAAUGGGCGCAAGCCUGAUGCAGCCAUGCCGCGUGUAUGAAGAAGGCCUUCGGGUUGUAAAGUACUUUCAGCGGGAGGAAGGGAGUAAAGUUAAUACCUUUGCUCAUUGACGUUACCCGCAGAAGAAGCACC